ensembl:lncRNA
GAAGGGAGUUUGUGGUGAGCUGGGGGUCAGCCUCUUCUCUCAUGUGACUAGUGAUAGGACUAGAGGGAAUGGCUUCAAGCUGCACAAAGGGAGGUUCAGGCUGGAUGUUAGGAAAUACUACUUCUCUGAAAGGGUGGUCAGGCACUGGAAUGGGCUGCCCAGAGAGGUGGUGGGAUCACCAAGCUUGGAGGUGUUCAAAGAGCGUUUGGAUGUUGUGUUGAGGGACAUGGUUUAGCGAGAACCAUUGGUGAAGGGCGAAUGGUUGGACUGGAUGAUCCUGUGGGUCUUUUCCAACCUUAGCAAUUCUAUGAUUCUAUGACUCUAUGAUUGAUCAGUUCAAUUUUAGACCUACUGCUGAGAAUGAUGAUGAAAUAUUUAUAAUGUAUUCUUUGCAAGUUUCAAACACGUAGACUGGGAAAUUAUUAAAUGUUUUUCACAUGCUCAAAAAAUAUAUCUCAUU